CUAUAAUGGAGAGUUUGAUCCUGGCUCAGGACGAACGCUGGCGGCGUGCCUAAUACAUGCAAGUCGAGCGGAAGUUGAAGAGCUUGCUCUUCAACUUUAGCGGCGGACGGGUGAGUAACACGUGGGCAACCUGCCCUGCAGAUCGGGAUAACUCCGGGAAACCGGUGCUAAUACCGAAUAGUUUAUCCUCCCUCCUGGGAGGAUACGGAAAGACGGUUUCGGCUGUCACUGCAGGAUGGGCCCGCGGCGCAUUAGCUAGUUGGUGGGGUAACGGCCCACCAAGGCCACGAUGCGUAGCCGACCUGAGAGGGUGAUCGGCCACACUGGGACUGAGACACGGCCCAGACUCCUACGGGAGGCAGCAGUAGGGAAUCUUCCGCAAUGGACGCAAGUCUGACGGAGCAACGCCGCGUGAGUGAUGAAGGUUUUCGGA
rnacentral:rRNA from 2 species